rnacentral:rRNA from 1 species
AAGUCGAACGAGAACGUUCCCUUCGGGGAACCAGUAAAGUGGCAUACGGGUGAGUAACACGUGGAUAACCUGCCCGGAGGUGGGGGAUAACUCCCGGAAACGGGUGCUAAUACCGCAUAACAUCUCGGAGCUUCGGCUCUCGCGAUCAAAGCUAGCCUCUACUUGUAAGCUAGCGCCACCGGAGGGGUCCGCGGCCCAUUAGCUAGUUGGUGAGGUAACGGCUCACCAAGGCUCCGAUGGGUAGCCGGCCUGAGAGGGCGACCGGCCACACUGGAACUGAGACACGGUCCAGACUCCUACGGGAGGCAGCAGUGAGGAAUAUUGCGCAAUGGGGGAAACCCUGACGCAGCGACGCCGCGUGGAGGACGAAGGCCUUCGGGUCGUAAACUCCUGUCAAGAGGGACGAAUGCUGCGAGGAUGAAUAAGCCUCGUGGGUGACGGUACCUCUGGAGGAAGCCCCGGCUAACUCCGUGCCAGCAGCCGCGGUAAUACGGAGGGGGCCAGCGUUGUUCGGAAUUAUUGGGCGUAAAGGGCGCGUAGGCGGCCGGGCAAGUCGGAGGUGAAAUCCCUCGGCUCAACCGAGGAAUUGCCCCCGAUACUGCCUGGCUUGAGUCCCGGAGAGGGUA